rnacentral:miRNA from 2 species
CGGGAGAGAUCGUCAAAACC